rnacentral:lncRNA from 10 species
AAAGUCCCCUAAUAUAAAAGUUGUCUUACCAAGCAUUGACGAGUAUUACAAGGCAGCUAUUCACGGAUUCUUCACUGGCAGCAUCAUUCGCUUCUGCAGGGAGGGAGAAAAAAGCAGUUUUCUCAGCUUACUGGUCAAUUUGUGCAGAAUUACCAAGGUUCAGGAAAACAAGGUCUACCCUUAUCAACAGGCUGUUGAGACGGGAAGAUGGACAUGAAGUGGGUGAAUCAAGGAUAAACUGAAAUCUGUGAGGAUGGGCUGGGACUCAUGAGGAGAGACUUGGACCAACAUUGGUCUCUCCCCACCUCCAAGCCACCCACUUCAAUGAUGGAAGCAAGCUGGAGGGGAAGCUGGCAUCCUUCAUCAGAAAGCUAAUCACGCGCCUGGCCCAGGAGUCAGAGAGGGUGGAGGAGGAUCCAGCAGGAGGUGAGGAUGCUGUGAGCUCAACCUGACGAGGUGAGUGAAGAGAUGAGUGACAACAGGAGCAGCCACGACAGCACCUCCUGCACUGCCCUGGCCUUCCAAGCAUAAAGCGAAAUAUGAUUGCUGCUUUACUUCCACUUCCCAAUGGCACACAAAAUGUCUCUGUGGCCCACACUAACUGCAAUUAUGUAAAGAAAAGAAUUCUGGGAAAUACAGUUCCAGCUUAGCUAAGUGGACAGUCCAAGCAUCCCACAUUGGCUAUAUGGAGAGAACUCUUUCAAUGGAUGGGUAGAGGGCAACAGCCCUGAUGACAGCCUUGGAGCCUCUGGAUCCAGCCAGCUCUGAAGCUGUAACUAUCACUAGAAUUUUCAGUUAUGUGAACUAUUUGGCUUAUACUUGUUUGCUGGGGGUUUUUUUGGUUUUUUUUUUGUUUGUUUGUUUUUUUGAGAUGGAGUCUCGCUCUGUCACCCAGGCUGGAGUGCAGUGGUGCAAUCUCUGUCUCUUGAAAAUAAAAGUGGCCUGACUCAUAUGUGGAGCUAGUUUAGCAUCUAAGAGUAAUUUAGUUAAGGCGUUGUAAUAGAAUUCCAAUAAAGAAGUAACUUUGUCAGGGCAAUUAGGAACACACUGAAAAUCUCUUGGGUAAUAAGGAAUGACUAUUACACAGCAUGUUCAGUUUUGGUGGGUAAAAGAGUGAUGGGUAAAGAGUGCGCUAAAAAAUGGCCAAAAAAAGUCUUAUGUACAAACUGCUAUUAACCUCUGCUGUUAACUUAUUACCAAGUGGCAGGUGUAAUCUUUGUAGGAGGUAAGAUGACACAUAGUGGGAAACAGAGGGACACCCAAACAGGACCUCCCUGGUAAGUAGCCCCUGAGUUAGGAUCCCACAUGUCAAAAUUUCAUUCUUGUUUCUGCAGGUCAAGAAAACUCAUCUGGUGUGUGCAUAUAAUUGUUCAGCUUUCAGGUGUCUGAC